UUGAACGCUGGCGGCAGGCCUAACACAUGCAAGUCGAGCGGCAGCGCGGGGCAACCUGGCGGCGAGCGGCGGACGGGUGAGUAACGCGUAGGAAUCUACCCAGUAGCGGGGGAUAGCCCGGGGAAACUCGGAUUAAUACCGCAUACGCCCUAAGGGGGAAAGCAGGGGAUCGUAAGACCUUGCACUAUUGGAAGAGCCUGCGUUGGAUUAGCUAGUUGGUAGGGUAAAGGCCUACCAAGGCGACGAUCCAUAACUGGUCUGAGAGUAUGAUCAGUCACACCGGAACUGAGACACGGUCCGGACUCCUACGGGAGGCAGCAGUGGGGAAUAUUGGACAAUGGGGGCAACCCUGAUCCAGCCAUGCCGCGUGUGUGAAGAAGGCCUUCGGGUUGUAAAGCACUUUAAGUGGGGAGAAAGGUUCGCUGGCUAAUAUCCAGCGGAAUUGAUGCUACCCACAGAAUAAGCACCGGCUAACUCUGUGCCAGCCGCCGCCGUAA
rnacentral:rRNA from 1 species